rnacentral:rRNA from 1 species
AAUAUUGGACAUUGGGUGAGAGCCUGAUCCAGCCAUCCCGCGUGCAGGAAGAAUGACUUAUGGGUUGUAAACUGCUUUUAUACCGGAAUAAACCACUUUCCGCGUAAGGUGUCGAAGGCACUAUAUGACUAAGCAUCGGCUAACUCCGUGCCAGCAGCAGCGGUAAUACGGAGGAUUCAAGCGUUAUCCGGAUUUAUUGGGUUUAAAGGGUCCGUAGGCGGGCAUAUAAGUCAGAGGUGAAAUCCGACAGCUUAACUGUCGAACUGCCUUUGAAACUGUAUGUCUUGAGUGGGAUUGAAGCAGCUGGAAUGUGUAGUGUAGCGGUGAAAUGCAUAGAUAUUACACAGAACACCGAUAGCGUAGGCAGGUUGCUAAGUCUUUACUGACGCUGAUGGACGAAAGCGUGGGGAGCAAACA